GCAGACACAUUCCAGCCAAUCAGCAGCAGACCCUCCCUCCAAGACCUUCCCACCUCCUGGACAGCAUCCAUUUUGAAGCUGCAUUCUUAGUGAGCUGUCCAGGAGGUGGGAGGGUCUGGGAGGGAGGGUCUGCUGCUGAUUGGCUGGAAUGUGUCUG